UACAAGGAAUGUUUCUUUGUGUGACUGAAAUGUCUGGACUGUCCAACAACAACAGAUCUGCCAUCUUGUCUGUUUGCUUUUAAUUUCUCCUGUCCUUUUCCUACUGAUCAUCUAGAUCAGGUGAUUCCUGUUUCUGAUUGACUGAACACACCUGGUCCAGGUGAUCUGCAGCAAGGAGGACAAGAAUAAGCACGAGAACAAGCAGGAAGGGAGCAAGUCAUAAACCACCGUGUCCCUAUCCAGCUCUCAAACAUAUAAGUCAAGUUUGAAGAUCAUCUCUGGAAAAGACAAGAAAGGGUCCAGAAAGGAGCUCAGGAGGCUUGCAGUCUGGAGUUUGGUAGAAGGUUUGAUGGACAACAGUACAAAGGAGAUGGUCCAGGACAGGAGAAGAGCAAACAUCUCUACACUGCAGAUAGACAAUGUCUACUUGAAGUAUGUUACUUCUCGUUUCUUGGCUGCAGUGGUGCACAAGGAUGCAACAGUGACUCCUCCGUUUGAGUCUUUAGGAAAAUGCCACCUGAAGGUCAACCUGAUGCAGACACCGACAGUGGAGAGCGUGCUGACGUACUCCGCUACAAUGUGGUUAACAGCUGCACGGCCGCUCUGCAGAAGGAUCACGGGGUGCCCUCUACCCUUGCUGGAACAGGAUGCAAACACACGUGGACUUAAGAGGGCACGAAGGAUCUUCGCUGAUCCCUCACACCCCGGCAAUUGUGUCUUUAAUCCUCUGGCAGAAGACACUGAGGCAUUAAGAGCCACAUAAAUCGCUUAAAUAACACUUUUUAUGUGUGCAAUAAGGCUUUUAAAAGCUCUGUAAUAGAGAUGAAACGCAAACACUUGGCAGUAAAAUUCACAACUAAAUGUGUUUUUAAAAAGUUGAACUUUACAACUGAUUUUAUGUCCACUUCUAAUGCUGGAAUUUGAGUGAGUUAUAUUAAUAUUUGUAAUGAUUUAAGGCUGUUUAUUGUCUGGAAUUACUUUAAUGACUAGCAUAUUUGCUAAACUCCAAAUUAGCCUACAAAACUGAAAAAGCCUAAAUGAGCUAAAACAGCUAACACGUAUAGCUGAAAUAUUAGCUAAAUGCCAAAAAAAAAA